CUGUCCGUCAUUGUCAUCAUAUGGUGAGCGGCUUGGAAUAUCCGGAAACUUCCGGAUGUAGUUUACUUCCCGUGGGAAGUAACAUCCGGAAGUUUUCUUUGACCGGGAAUGUCAAAACUUUCCACCGCUCUGUAAUUGCAAUGCAAUGUACCGGAACAGCAACAUCCGGGUACAACAAAUUUUAAUCAUCCUUUAAUUCCUUGAAAAUCAGCUACCCUCGAAAAAAAAGGAUAAAUUCGAGUUCGGCUGCCGAACUUAGUAUUGAGUAUGCCUAUCAGAACUUAGUUUUGCUAUUGCCCAGUCAAACUCAAAGUUGAGGCAAGCCAUCGAAGUGAUGUUUUGAACCAAAACUACUUAAUUUUGAGUUUAAAUAAAAGAGCGUGCAGCAAUCGUUUGAGUUCGCGUGAAAAAUGUUUGUACACGGAAAAAUUGAGUUAUUCAUAAAAUGAAUUGCGAUUACACAUUCAUAAUAACUAAUGGAUUGUUGCUCAAAAUUUGUAUAUCCCGAAUUCAGUUUUGGGUAGUUUUGGGACGACAAUAUGCAGAAGUAAACUAAAACUCGAUUAUUCAGCUCUGUAUAAAAAGUUUGUUGUUGUUGGAAAGCUUUGAAAGGAGAUGUCAAAGCAUAAAAAGAUAUUAGAUUUGACUGCGUUUGUUAUGAAAGUUUUAAUUUUUCGCUAUUUUUGCGUUUGAAUCAACAUUAAAACUCGUAAAAGGUACGUUUUUCUCCAUUUAACUUGAUUUUUUUACGUAAUUGUUUGAUUUUAAGGGAGGCAAACGCCCGUGAUCCGAUGAAAUCCGAUCAAGUACAUUGGGGAUUCUUGCAGAAGAAAACCAAUGCCGAGAAUGCGCGCUCGCAAGAAAAGGAAGGAGAAGACAAGGUGCAGGUACGGAUACCGAAAAAAAAGCUGAGAAACGAGCUGGAACAAAAAAUUAUGACUCGUGAAACUUCCGCCGGAAGUAUAUCAAUUGGUUCCGCCAAAAUGAGAAUGUCCAACCACUUCAAAAAUAAAACGCAAAAAUCACGGAACUCCUGCCUCCAGUUGAACCGGAAAUUGUUCUGUGCCUGGCAUCCCCGGAUUUUGAACUAAAAUUGACAUGAGAAGUCUAUUCCCGCUCAGGGUUAGCUGCUUGGUUAGCCUAUUAAAAAUGUGAUUUUAAUGAAAUUUUUUGUUUCGGGUCAUUGCUGGGAUAAUCGUCUUGAAACGUUGCGAAAAAAUGCUUCCGAAGAUGAGCUGAAUUUAGAAACGAUAACAUUCAUAACAACAUUUCCAGCUACUUACUCAUCAUGGCACUUCCGAAGCAAGGUACAUCAGUGCUUUAUUUUUUCCUAUAAAAACCAUGACAAAACAAUGAGGAAAAAUGGAAAGAAGCCUUUUGAGCUGGUUUCGACCACUAAACUUGAUUCUGUAAAGUUGAGGGAACAGCCGAGCUAUUCAGCCUCGAUUCCCUCCUCGCUCCCUCGAGAUUGGCUUGCACGAAGACGUGAACCAGUACCGGAAGUGGUCGUCUAGGAAUCCGUAUCCUUUUUGUCAUUGAAUUUGACAACCAUCAAUCCUCCAUUUGAAUGACCGGUAUGUUUAAUUGAAAAUAAAGAUUUUGUUGCUACGGAAAAUAAAAAUGUUUUUUUUUUGAGAAAUUUCCUCAACUUUCACUUUUUUGAAGAAAUCUUGAAAAUGCAUGGGCAUCCCCAUGUCAAAAUAUACAGAAUUGACUAACUGGCUGAAAGCUUUCGAAUGUGUAAAAGCUUUUUGCUCACGCUCUGUGUAAAGCGCCCAAACAUAAAACUAAGUGGAGACACUUUUCUCGAAUCUGUAUGGAUUUUAAUACAGAACAGAGUAACUUUGUUUACCGUGUAUAGUAGCUGCGUUCAAUCGUAAGUAGCGAUUGGUUUCGACUAGUUUCUGUCAAGUGUUCGUUGUUCAAGGGGCUCAUGUUUUGGUCGAAACAGGUCUGGUCGUUGUUCAACGGAGCAAGUUGAAAUUGAUCGAAACUAGUCGAAACCGAUCCAGCUCGAAAGCAGGAUUCAUUUCUACCACACUAACACACAUGCAGCGUGUGUGUCAGACAGAGAGCAUGUUUUUGUUUAGUUUUCGCCAUUUCAUUUUCGCCAAGUGCUCUGGAUGUUUGGAUUCAGUCGGCGGUCGGAUUGUCGCUGUGCUAACUCUUCCUGCAAUUAUUCCUGUGCUGUGCGGUAGAAGUCGUCCCGCAUACCAAAAAACUACAUCUAACGGUUUCUACGAUACAUCAACGGUUUCCUAGAUUGAUGCAAGGUUCUUAGAUACACUAGGUUCUCCGACUUUCACAGUAAGUAGGCGAGGAGUGAGCGGGGCUCUCAAUGAGUUUGUUUAUUUUUUGCUCAGCUUUUCUGUGGUUUGUUGGUAAACAAACUUCAUGAGUUCCGCAUAGUUGCAUAGCCUACAUAGCCAAAAUGGCUGAAUCGGGAAUUCGUUAUUCGGGAACACCUCCUGAAUAUAUACCCACCUUGGAUUGAUGAUUACCCAAGCAACCAAAAGUCGCGUUUUUACUUAAAGAUGGAACUCCGAAGUUCACAUUUGGCUGAAAAAAUGUUUUACGGGAACUUCAGGUGACUCUUGUCGCGUAAAAGUUACUCAGGAACUUCCAUCGCCCUUUGAAAGGUUAAACUAUCGAUAACAGAACUUCUAGGCGCUUUCAAUGGAACUUCUUUCAAGAAGGUCGAUAACGUUCGCGUAACAUUCCAAAACGCACCAUUAUGAUACUUGAAGGUGUUUUAAAGAACCUAUAUGGGAAAUCUAAGCGACAUGUCAAAAAUGUUUUUCAAGAAGGUCGAUAACGUUCGCGUAACAUUCUAAAGCGCACCAUUAAGAUACUUGAAGGUGUUUUAAAGAACCUAUAUCGGAAUUCUAAGCGACAUGUCAUAAAUGUUUUUCAAGAAGGUCGAUAACGUUCGCGUAACAUUCUAAGGCGCACCAUUAAGAUACUUGAAGGUGUUUUAAAGAACCUAUUUGAAUUCUAAGCGACAUGUCAAAAAUGUCUGUCAAUUUUUUGUCAUGGUAUUUGUUUUGUUUAUAUCUGUACUGAUAUUUACAAAUGGAAUUCAAGAUUUUUUCGAAUUUUUCUUAUAAAUGUUAAAUAAGAUAUUCGAAUAAAUUUUGAUGAUGCGAAUUUUUGUUUUGAUUCAUAUUGUGUACUGAAAGUCCUUUGAACGAAAUAAGGUACCUUCUAUUGACCAACCCACUCAAUCAUCUCAAAUGACAUUAAGUUUAAAUACUAAUCAUUACAGUGGCAAUUAGCUAUUGAUGGAUUGGUCGAGAGGCUGAUGAGUUUCAUUGCAACCUAGAGAGCAGCGGUUCAAUUCUCUAGGCGUGUAAGCAGCUUUUGUAAUCAAAACAAUAUAAUAAAAAUCAAUGAGAUAGACCAUGAUAGACCGGCAACCUAGCAAUCUGACAUGUGGUUGUCAGAGCAAUCUGUCACUCGGAUUUUUUUUUCGGCGCGUAGAAGUUUCUUGACAUUCUCUUAGAAGCUGAAUAGCGUUCUCUACAGCCACCUAAACGAACUUGAAAGUAGCUUUAAGAACUUAAAUUUUGGGCUGAUUAGCAUUCUCUUCAGACACAAACGAGAGCUGAUUAAGCUUCUAUGGAACCUUUUUAAGGGAAU